rnacentral:sRNA from 13 species
CUGUGCCUUCAGUAUUCGCUGUCAUUUGCACCUUUUACGAUACCUUUAAAGUGGUACAAUUUUUCAUUAAGCGCAUUCUGUUUGCUGUAAACAUAAAAUUUAACGUCGCGCAUUUUCUCUAUACCUGGAAUGUGCGUUUUCCCAAACCAGUUUGUGCGAAAUGAAAAUGGGGGAGCUUGCGUCGUCCAUUAAAAGGGGAGCCUCAAAUGCCAAUAAGCCUCUUGGCAUAACUGAGUGGUAAAUAGAAAAUUAUGAGUGCUGAAAAUUGAGUGUGUGUCUGUGGAGGCCUCUAACCAAAGCGCAGCGCAACUCCUGCUGCAAUUUGCCCUCUCAGUCGCUCUGUGUGUUUUGCAGCCCUUUGUCGUUUGUGUUUCGCAGUCGUCCUGGAUGGCAAAAAGUUCCAGUUGCCAGCGUGUUAAUUUGUGCGUAAACGUUGCACUAACGAAGCGGAAGCUUUUGGCCCCACGAAUAAUAGAGGGUUAAGAGGCAGGGGGGUUUUUCCGGGGGCGACGGUCCUGUUGGGAUAGAGCGCGUAAUUGAAAUGGCAUUUAAAUGUUUCGGGGGACCUGUGUGACGGCGACGAGCGUGCAUUUUCCAUGCGAGGGAAUGUCAUUCAAAAUUAUGGCGGUUGAUUAAAGGAUGAGCGGGGGUGAAGAGCUGCAGCGCGGGAUGCAUGCCCGUGUCAAAGGUCACAGGCGUUUUGUAGCCAUUAAAACGACGCCGGAGCUUGGUAGUAAAACUUAUUUUAAGGCUUUUGAUUAAUAACGAAGUUCUUGGAAAAUAAGUACGUGUCCUAAAUAUGUAAACCUAAAAAAACAAUUAUAAGCUCUGGAUUUAAAUGUAUACCAAAGUGUAAAGACUAUAACCUCUAUGUUUAAUAUAUUUAUUUGGGCUUGGUUUUAAUCGAUAGUAAAUACAGUUAAUUUAAAAAUAUAUUUAUUG